AAUCUCUUUCGUCCUAUUAGAAAAUCUUUUAAUUGUUGGGAAUCACUGGAUAUGAGUGCUCAGUUCCUCUUGCACAAAAUUUAAUAGACGCGUACAACCUUACUGAGACUAGCUAGUUGUAUAAAAAUAGUGGGCAAAACACUCCGCACUCGAUUCUUACAGCCACUCUGUCCUCACAGUCACUCAGUCCUCUCGAUCAUUCGACACUCGCAUUUAGUAUGUAUCUGUGCCCCUGGGGAUGCGUACAGACUUCGGAGAAGCGCAGUUCGUUAGCCCAAGAAC
rnacentral:lncRNA from 1 species